rnacentral:lncRNA from 1 species
GAAUUCAUUGCGGAUGUCACCUGUCAGCCUCUCCUUUGUCCAGGGAGGUCCCAUCCUCACCACAUGGGCUGCCGAGACAUCUGGUUCUCUGAUCCGUGAAGGUCAUCCUGCUUCCUCUGUGUCUGACUGUCAAGAGCUCCCUGGGGCAGCUGGCACAUCGGGACAAUCCUGGGUACCUCUUCAAGGCACAGGAAACUUUAUGUCCUUGUUUAUCCUGAGGGCCUCACCUGAGCCCCCAUGGACCCUAAGGCCCAGUGAUGGGUGCCAAGCUGUUCCCACUAGAGUUGUCCUCAUAUUUCCUGCUGUAGUCCAGACUAGAACAGGCAUUGGAGGCAAUGCAUGUACGGGUUGGAGAAGUGAAUUUGGGAGUUGUUGGCAUGUGCGUGGUAUAUUUGCCUGUGGACUGGCUUCAGUUGCUUGUUGUGAUUGUAAGUAUCUUAGUGAUGGAAUAUUACUUUGAAAGGAUGCAAGCCUGAUGGACAGUUUGAAAGAAAAAAAGGCCAGAGAGAGGGCAGCAUGGUCUACAUGGAAGUCAGCUAGAAUUUUCGUAUGAAGUUAAAACCCUUGGUUUGAAUCUAUAUGUUGCUGUGGGCCAGGGAAAGAGGGGAAGAGAGCCGGGGAGCGGGAAUCAAGGGACCAAUGGCUUCUGACUGCACAGCCUUGGACGUGCACUUUUUGGACAUGUAACUUCUCUGAGUCUCAGUGUUUGCAUCCGUAAGUGGGGACGUACAAUAAAAUCAUCAAGUUUUGGCCUCAACAUUCUGUCUAAGUUGAAAGUGCUAAAUGCAGAGAGAAUUUAUUAUCAUCGUGUCCAUUACUGUCAGGUUACAUUACUAGUAACAUUACAUUACUAGUUAAAAUUGUUACAUUACUAGUUAAAAUUGUUAAAUUAUAUUCUGUGUCAUGUUACAUUACUAGUUAAAAUUGUUACAUUACUAGUUAAAAUUGUUAAAUUAUAUUCUGCUCAUGAUAAUACAGUUUGCAUGACCAAAAGUGUACAGCAUAAAGAAUUCCCAAGGCAUUUUAUAGAUUGCGGGACAGCUCCUUGCUCAGACCUCUGAGCAGCCCUGUCAGAUUAUUGGGUUAUUGUUUCCAUUUUGUGGACAUGGAAACUGAGACUCAGUAAGGUAAAAGGACUUGCAGUUGACAGAGCCGCUUAGUACAGAAGCUGGGGCUUAUUGCUCUGACCCUAAGCUCUUUAUUUUGCCAUUGUUUGAACAGAAUAGGAGAUGACCCUGUUGCGUCAUUUUAAGGACACACUUUCUUUUUGCCUUCUGAAUAUGUUUACUUGCCACAAGAAACAUGUAUUACUUUUAUAACUAAAAUUUUGAAAUUAAAAAUUUUUGUAAUUUUAAUUUUUUUAAUUAAAUUUAAGUUUGUAAUUGUAAUUUUAAUUUUUAAAAAUUAAAUUAGAAUUUUUAAAAUUAAAAUUUUUAAAAUUAAUUUCUCAAAAUUUGUAAUUUUAAUUUUGU